rnacentral:rRNA from 1 species
GAUGAACGCUGGCGGCGUGCCUAAUACAUGCAAGUCGAGCGAAAAGAUGAGGAGCUUGCUCCUCUGGCGUUAGCGACGGACGGGUGAGUAACACGUGGAUAACCUUCCACUAAGACUGGGAUAACUUCGGGAAACCGGAGCAAAUACCGGAUAAUAUAUCGAACCGCAUGGUUCAGUAGUGUAUGACGGUUUUGCUGUCGAUUAUAGAUGGAUCCGCGUCGAAUUAGCUAGUUGGUAUGUUAACGGCUUAACAAGGGAGCGGUGCGUAGCCGAGCUGAGCGGGGGAUCGGCCCCACUGUAACUGAGACACGGCCCAGACUCCUACGGGAGGCAGCAGUAGGGAAUCUUGCGCAAUGGGCGAAAGCCUGACGGAGCAACGCCGCGUGGGUGAAGAAGGUCUUCGGGUCGUAAAACGCUGUUAUGGUGGAAGAACAAAUGUGUAAGUAACUAUGCACGUCUUGACGGUACCUAAUCAGAAAGCCACGGCUAACUACGUG